UAUUUAAGAAUCAAAACAUAUUUCAAAUUAAGCUAAAGAAAUAAUAAUAUAAGUAAGAAAGUAGACAAAAAAUGUAGAGAGAUAAGUUAGAAGAGUUUUCUUAUUCUUCAAAGUAUAUCCAAGUGUUUCUCAAAUCUUCAAGUGCAUAACAUAAUCCUCAAGACCUCUAUUUAUAUUGUUACAUAAAGACAUAUAAAGAUAUAACAAUAAACAUGACA
rnacentral:lncRNA from 1 species